GGGUUGUGAGGUUAAGCGACUAAGCGUACACGGUGGAUGCCCUGGCAGUCAGAGGCGAUGAAGGACGUGCUAAUCUGCGAUAAGCGCCGGUAAGGUGAUAUGAACCGUUAUAACCGGCGAUUUCCGAAUGGGGAAACCCAGUGUGAUUCGUCACACUAUCAUUAACUGAAUCCAUAGGUUAAUGAGGCG
rnacentral:rRNA from 1 species